UUAGUUGAAGCCAAGAAGGAGGCAUUUUAAUGUUAAUAAAAUUAUUGAAUUAUUUCCAACUAAA
rnacentral:tRNA from 1 species